rnacentral:rRNA from 1 species
GACGAACGCUGGCGGCGUGCCUAAUACAUGCAAGUGGGACGCAAGGGAACACACUGUGCUUGCACACCGUGUUUUCUUGAGUCGCGAACGGGUGAGUAACGCGUAGGUAACCUGCCUAUUAGCGGGGGAUAACUAUUGGAAACGAUAGCUAAUACCGCAUAAUAUUAAUUAUUGCAUGAUAAUUGAUUGAAAGAUGCAAGCGCAUCACUAGUAGAUGGACCUGCGUUGUAUUAGCUAGUUGGUAAGGUAAGAGCUUACCAAGGCGACGAUACAUAGCCGACCUGAGAGGGUGAUCGGCCACACUGGGACUGAGACACGGCCCAGACUCCUACGGGAGGCAGCAGUAGGGAAUCUUCGGCAAUGGACGAAAGUCUGACCGAGCAACGCCGCGUGAGUGAAGAAGGUUUUCGGAUCGUAAAGCUCUGUUGUAAGUCAAGAACGUGUGUGAGAGGGAAAGUUCACA